UACGUAGGUGGCAAGCGUUGUCCGGAAUUAUUGGGCGUAAAGCGCGCGCAGGUGGUUCCUUAAGUCUGAUGUGAAAGCCCCCGGCUCAACCAUUGUGUGCAUUGGAAACUGUUAGACUUGAGUGCAGUAGAGGAGAGUGGAAUUCCAUGUGUAGCGGUGAAAUGCGUAGAUAUUGGAAGGAAUACCGGUGGCGAAGGCGGCCACCUGGUCAGAAACUGACGCUGAGGUACGAAAGCGUGGGGAGCAAACAGG
rnacentral:rRNA from 1 species